ACUGAGACACGGCCCAGACUCCUACGGGAGGCAGCAGUAGGGAAUCUUCCGCAAUGGACGAAAGUCUGACGGAGCAACGCCGCGUGAGUGAUGAAGGCUUUCGGGUCGUAAAACUCUGUUGUUAGGGAAGAACAAGUGCUAGUUGAAUAAGCUGGCACCUUGACGGUACCUAACCAGAAAGCCACGGCUAACUACGUGCCAGCAGCCGCGGUAAUACGUAGGUGGCAAGCGUUAUCCGGAAUUAUUGGGCGUAAAGCGCGCGCAGGUGGUUUCUUAAGUCUGAUGUGAAAGCCCACGGCUCAACCGUGGAGGGUCAUUGGAAACUGGGAGACUUGAGUGCAGAAGAGGAAAGUGGAAUUCCAUGUGUAGCGGUGAAAUGCGUAGAGAUAUGGAGGAACACCAGUGGCGAAGGCGACUUUCUGGUCUGUAACUGACACUGAGGCGCGAAAGCGUGGGGAGCAAACUAGGAUUAGAUACCCUGGUAGUCCACGCCGUAAACGAUGAGUGCUAAGUGUUAGAGGGUUUCCGCCCUUUAGUGCUGAAGUUAACGCAUUAAGCACUCCGCCUGGGGAGUACGGCCGCAAGGC
rnacentral:rRNA from 1 species